rnacentral:lncRNA from 1 species
GGAGACGUCAUAAACAGUGGGAUCAGCUUGGUAAGCUUGUGUGAUUAAUACUAUGUUUCACUUUUUCAGCUGCUUAGGAUCAAAAAGAAAAAAAAUAAAGGUUACAAAAAAUCCAUAUCAAGCCUAACAUAGGAUUGGAAACACAGCAAUGAUUGGAACAAAUUAGAACCACAUUUUCAUCAUCUGACUCCAACAACCAAAGGAAACACCCUUUCCUUCUUUGGGAGCUGUAGCUCUCUGGAGUUUUGGGAAGCCCAAAGGUGGAGACCACGUGGCCUCCAGGAAUUCAGACCUGGCUUCUGAGCUGUGGCACAGCAGAAGAAAGGCAGCCAACACAGGAUCUGAAACAGCCCGAGGGGCCUUCCCUCAUUAGCUCUUUGAUACCCAGUGAAGUCACUCUGUUUUUACAACAUCUUAUUCUCUUUUUACUUGUAGUACUGAACUCUGGAGGUAAUGAGAUGCCAUUGUAACUUUCUCUCUCUCCCCGCUAUUUAAAUGUGCAUUCUGUGAAGGUGUUUUUUACCUACCUAGGAGGGUUUCGAUGGGGAAGAUCCC